UCUUUGGGGUCUAAAAAAUUAGUGCUUUCUAAACUUUAUGAAGGAGUUUCCAACAAACGACUUAUUAAUGUUGAUCAGCACAUUGGAUCGGAAUGUUGGAAUGCUGGCAGCAGGUUUGUAGGCAGAUGCUUGUUCUUUAGCAGACAUAGCAAGAGAAGAAGUUUCCAACUUUAAAUCUGACUUUGGUUAUAACACUCCACUAAAACAUCUUGCAAACAGAGUGGACAUGUAUGUACAUGCAUAUACACUCUACAGUGCUGUUAGAUCUUUUGCCUUCAGUUUCAUGUUAGGGUCUUACAGUAUGAAUGACAGUGCACAAUUUUCCAUGAUUGACUCAUCAGGUGUUUUAUAUGGUUAUUGGGCCUGUGCCACUGGCAAAGCCAGGCAAGCUGUAAAACAGAAAUAGAAAAGCUUCAGAUGAAAGAAAUGACCUGCUAUGAUACUGUUACAGAAGUUGCUCAAGUAAUUUACAUAGUACAUGAUGACGCUAAGGAUAAAGUUUACGAACUCAGCUGGGUUAGUGGUUUAACUAAAGGAAGACAUGAAAUUGUUUCAAAAGAUAUAAGGGAAUAAGCAGAUAAAUAUGCUAAAGAAUCCUUGAGUGAAGAAGACAGGUCAGAUGAUGAUAAUAUGUA
rnacentral:lncRNA from 1 species